rnacentral:rRNA from 1 species
AUUCCACAUGGUUUCAUUAUUAAAGGAUUCCGGCUAACGAUGGGGAUGCAUGCCAUUACGCUGUUGGCGAGGUAACGGCUCACCAAGCCUUCCACGGAUAGGGCUUCUGACAGGAACGACCCCCACAUUGGAACUGACACACGGGCCAUACUCCUACGGCAGGAAUCCUAGAGGAAUAUUGGUCAAUGAACCUUAGCCUGAGCCAGACAAGCAGAGCGAACGAUGACGGCUCUAUGGAUCGUAAACUUCUUUUAUAUAACAAUAAAGUGCAAUAUGAAUACUGAUUUGUAUGUAUUAUAUGAAUAAGGAUCGGUUAACUCCGAGCCACCAGCCUCGCUAAUACGCAGGAUCCGAGCGUUAUCCAGAUUUAUUGCGUUUAAAGGGAGCGUAGGUGGACUGGCAAGUCAAUUGUGAAACUUUGCGGCUCAGCCAUAAAAUUGCACUCGAUACUGUAAGUCUUGAGUACACUGGAAGAGUUCAGAGUUCAUGAUGAAACGGUAAAUUGCUGAGAUAUCACGAAGAGCUCCGAUUGCUGAAGCAGCUCACUGGACUGCAGCUGACACUGAUGCUCGAAAGUGCGCUGAUCAUACAGGAUUAGAUACGCUGACAGUCCACACUACACAGGAUGAAUACUCCCUGUUUGCGAUAUACAGUAAGCGGACAAGUGAAAGCAUUAAGUAGUGCAGUUGGGGAGUAAGCCGGCAACGCGUGAAACUCAAAGGAAUUGACGGCGAACCGCACAAGCGGAGGGAACAUGUGGUAUAAUUGGGUGAUACGCGAGGAGCGUUAGCCGGUGCUUAAAUCGCAGUGGAAUGAUGAUGGAAACAUGUCAGUGAGCAAUCGACAGGUGGAACGGUGGUGCAUGGUAGUUGUCAGCUGGAGACCGUGAGGUGUCGGCUUAAGUGACAUCACGAGCGCAACCUUUAUCUUCAGUUACUAACAGGUCAUGUUGAGGGCUUUGGAGAGACAACCGUGAUAAGAUGUGAGGAAGGUGUGGGAUGCCGUCAAAUCAGCACGGCCUUGACGUCCGGGGGUUCCCAUGUGUUAGCAAUGGGGGGUACAGAAGGCAGGUAGUGGGUGACUGUAUGUAUAAUCUUCAAAAUCCUCUGUCAGUUGGGAUCGAAGUGUGCAACCGGAGUUGGGAUAGCUGGAUUUGCUAGUAAUAGCGCAUCAGGCGAGAGAGGGGUGAAUGCGUUCCCGCGCCCUUGUACACCCCGCCCGUCAAGCCAUGGGCAGCCGGGGGUACGUGAAGUAACUAAAAGCAAGCAUCGUCCUAGGGUAAAAUUGGUGACUGGGGC